AGAAGGAGGUGAAAAUGGGGUGUGAUUCUUUUUCUCCCAAAGCAAUGCUGGGGACGGGGGAGUCAACUGAUUCUCCAGGAUGUGGAUGGCCACGAAGUGUCUCACCCCAAGAAUACAUCUUCAGUUGCACCGGGGAGAUUCAGGUGCAAGAAAUCCCAUUCUUUCUACAAAGAACAGGUGGAAAACCAGCCUGGUCCACAGGCAACAACCAAUGCCAUGGGACUGCUGUUACAAGGACAGGACAGGUCACUGCCAACUUGGUGUCACCGUUUGAUUUUUCAGGAAAGCGUAGUCUUUACCUGACAGCGGUGGUUGCCUCCAUCCACCCUCCCACCCCCAAAAC
rnacentral:lncRNA from 1 species